GACUACGGGGACUCCAGUGGUUCAAACGCUGUCGUUCCGCCGCGUUACAGAGCCACAGCUGUCCCCGGGUGGCGAAGUGCGGAGACCGGGUUUUGGAGAGGGUGGAGGAAGGGGAGGGAAAGCUGCCAACUUUGGAUACCAACCGCGUACACCCACCGAAGGGGAUGUCCCACUUUUUCCAGCGCUGGGAGCAAAAAGAUAACAGUGAGCGAGGUUGAAAAAUUAUAAAGUCUCCCAGGACGGUGCUCUGUAACCAGCCCAUAGUAGCUACUGCUAUUUUACCAGCUACUGUAUCUUUCCUUCUUUGAUUUCCAGCACCUGACAGUGAAAAGAGCAAUUUGAAGAAAAACAAAAUUUGUCUUCAGUGUGAAAAGCAAUUUAUAAAAGUCUGAAUACUUGCCAGGAACAACUUGAGAAAAAAGACAAAAGGUGGUGGGAGAAAUGUAACCAGCCCACAAUUCCAGUGUUGAUAACAGAUGAGCUCCCUUUCAAGAUGACUGACAUUUACAGAAGUAUACAGAGCAAGAGGAAGGUCUGAGUGAACUGCCAAGCAUCUUAACUUCUCCUGAGACCGAGUACAUCAACAGUUCUCUUGGAAAAGAACAACUGAUUUGGGAGUCCGGCAGACUGACAGCUGCAAGACAUUCAUCCAGUAUCAGGAACACAAUGGGCCUCCAUUUGCCUGCCUUUCUGAAGGCACCAAUCAAAAGUAACAGCUGCCCCCUUUUUCUAUGAGACUUGAUUAUAAUUUUCCAUGGCCAAGGGUUUGCUGUGACACUUCCAUAUCAUUUUUCAGUAUGUAGUCCAGAGAUUACCUACAGAUUUAAGAAACACAGACUGUAAACUAUUAUAUACAGAUAUAUCUCAAAGUAAGCAUACCCAUUAGUGCCAGUUGUUCUGAAAGAUUGAAUGACCCCAGCUAUUUUCCAAAUGUUUUUUCAGAAAGUCAUGAACACACCUUUCUGGGAUCCCACCUAUUUCAAAGACAGGCAAAGCUCUGUGGUUCAGUUCCACCAUCCAGUACCAAGCCCAUAGUAUGUGGACCAUACGCCUUACACAUGGCCUUUUCUCUUUAUGUAAUUGCGGUACCAUAUUCAGCAGAUCUAGACUGUCUCAAAUCAUGUUCCCUCAAGAAGUCCCACAGAAAAAAAAGGUUUCUGUGAUCAAAAAUCUUUUGGGAGGUGCUGCAAACCCUAUCUCCCUCUUAGAGCUUAACCAUGCAUAUUGGGGCAUAAUAUAAACCUUUUCCAGCCUGGGCCACAGAAUGAGACCUCACCUCUGAAAUAAUAAAUCAAUAAACUCUGAGAAAUACACAGAAAAGAAACUUCUGUAACUUUUAGGUCUUAAUUACAAGCAAUUGUAGCUUAA